rnacentral:rRNA from 1 species
AGAGCGAACGCUGGCGGCAGGCCUAAUACAUGCAAGUCGAACGGAUCCUUCGGGAUUAGUGGCGGACGGGUGAGUAACACGUGGGAACGUGCCCUUUGGUUCGGAACAACUCAGGGAAACUUGAGCUAAUACCGAAUGUGCCCUUCGGGGGAAAGAUUUAUCGCCAUUGGAGCGGCCCGCGUCUGAUUAGCUAGUUGGUGAGGUAAAGGCUCACCAAGGCGACGAUCAGUAGCUGGUCUGAGAGGAUGAUCAGCCACACUGGGACUGAGACACGGCCCAGACUCCUACGGGAGGCAGCAGUAGGGAUCUUGCGCAAUGGGCGAAAGCCUGACGCAGCCAUGCCGCGUGAAUGAUGAAGGUCUUAGGAUUGUAAAAUUCUUUCAGCGGGGACGAUAAUGACGGUACCCGCAGAAGAACGCCCCGGCUAACUUCGUGCCAGCAGCCGC